rnacentral:lncRNA from 1 species
GUGGCUCUCUGCUAGGAGAGUGUUGGAAUUCUUGCAGACCACAAUUUUUCGUACUCUGAAUUAUGACCAACCCAGCCAUAGACAGCAAGGUAUCAAUUAAAUUGACGGCACUGGACAACUAGCAAACCGCACUUGACUUCACAACAAAGGGAAUUUUUAAGAUCAAGCACUCAAUCUGAAAAGCUGUGACAAACAAAAACACACUAAUGAGCAUAAUUGUACAAGAGAGGUUACAUAUGUGUUGAUUAAUCAGAAUAAGGAUGCAAAGCAAUGAUGAAUAUAUUAAAAUACAUAACCAGCAGUAAAUGAACAGUUUUAGAAUAUAUGGGUCAGGAUGGUUCCUAACUCUUCAUUAGCAACCCAAGAGGCCCACACUAAUGAGCAUAAUGGUACAAAAGAGGUUACAGAUGCAUUGAGUAAUCAAAAUAAAGAUGCAAAGCAAUGAUGAGCAUAAUAAAAGUGCAUAACCAGCAGUGAAUAGGCUGUUUCAGAAUACAAGAGUCAGGAGUAUUCCUAACUCUCAAUUAACAAUACAAAGAGCCUCACUGCUCAGCUAUAAAAGGAGGGAAUAGGGAAAAAAAUAUAAGAAAGAUCAAGCAGAUACACAUCCGUCCAAAUACACACAUACGGGGUGGCAUACCAUAGUUACAGACUACACAGUGAUAAAAAGCAGCAAGCAUAAACAUAGAAGUUUCAGAAAAGAAGAUAUAAGCAUACACAUAGCUCUAUCAUACAUACACACAUUUUUACUAAGCAUCACAUAUAGCGCAUAGAAUCCGGAAACAAUAACAAAACCACAAUCCAGAAUGCACACGCAGAGAUCCAACCAAAAACAUACAACAUCCGUAUCACUGAAUAAAGCAAUUCCGUAAGAAUCACAGGUCAUACCAGGUAAUAUUUUCUUAUUCAGCUUCCAAACUAGUUUUCUGUCCAUAUACCUAUUUUGUACUAUCACGUUCAAACAGUUAUAUAGAAACACAUUGGAUAAAAAAAAACAACAUAUCAUGAUAAUCUUAAAACAAUUUUGACUAGUUUAUGAAUGAUUGUUAGCCAAACCCUUUUGUCAUAAGCCUAUCUUCGAGCUACAUAAGCAAUAAAGAAUUAAGAUGACAUCGCAAUAUAUAACACGCUAGACUCUGCUAAAUGCUAAUCCUACGAUUAUCAAUCCGGUGUAUGUGGUCUUGUUGUUAUCAUUAUCACUCAUUAUACUAAGUUACGAAUCUGUAUUAAUCAUUGACAUCAAUAUGCGUUAUAUAAUGGAAUAGAAAACCUUUUUCAGUAACUUUGUUUCAAGAAAACCCAUCAAUCUUAGUCUUUUCAUUUAUGCAAUAUGUAGUGUUGAUAAUACUAAAAUGCGAAUACAAGAGCCUAAAAUAAAUAAAUUAGAAACAACAACACAUGGUUUGAUAUAGUGAGUUCGUUUCACAAAAUGAGAGCAACAUAGGCAAUAAAGCAGACAGUUAAGGUUUCAACAAAAAAGGGAGGCGAUUUGGUUCAUUACCAAAUUCUUUCGUCUCUGUCGAUCCCGUGAUUGAGAUAUUCAAUUCACAACCCGAUAAAAUAGGUGAGGUGAUGCAAGAAUCAUCCUCUCUGCCGGCUCGUUCGCAGCGUUGUCUCCUUCACGACAGAGACUUCCUUCGGCAUUCUUCACUGCGAUAAUGAAAAGGUUAUGAAUAAGUAAUAAAAGNN